rnacentral:tRNA from 1 species
GGUGGCUCAGUGGUAGAGCGCUUGCCUUGCAUGCCUGAAGCCCUGGGUUCGAUUCCUAGUACCA